UACGAAGGGGGCUAGCGUUGCUCGGAAUUACUGGGCGUAAAGGGCGCGUAGGCGGAUAGUUUAGUCAGAGGUGAAAGCCCAGGGCUCAACCUUGGAAUUGCCUUUGAUACUGGCUAUCUUGAGUUCGGGAGAGGUGAGUGGAAUGCCGAGUGUAGAGGUGAAAUUCGUAGAUAUGGGGGAGGAACACCGGUGGCGAAGGCGGCCACCCUGGACGGGUAACUGACGCUGAGACGCGAAAGCGUGGGUAGCAAACAGG
rnacentral:rRNA from 1 species